CAGCCUGCCACCAGGGGGCGACUGAAUCGAAAACAAGCUUUUUAGAGGAAGCUAAUUUUUACUUGUUACUUUCGAUUUUGAUCCGACUCGUAAAAAAUGUUGGAACUUUAAAUGUUUGUGAAAUUUAAACGCCCGAGAGGCAGGAGGAGAGGAAGGCAACUCCGAGUCCACAAACCUUACGGAACGGCUACUUUCAACGUGCGACACGGGCCGGACACUUCAGGGACCAUCGGUAAACUGGGACGCUUUAGCUGCUGACGAGGCCUUCGGGCGCUCCUUGAAAAUCUAAAUCAGCUCCUUCUUCUUUCCCACCAAUUACGCUCGUCUGUGGCGCCACAUUGCACUUUUGGACCCUCGUCAACGGGGUGAUGAGGCGAUUCUGUGCUCGUGUGAAACGGUGUUGGCACCCGCCGCCGCUCGCAUUCAGCCCACAUAUAAACCCUUCGCCGCCCCCGUUUCUCCUCCCCCGGCGACGCAGACGGCACAAUAGCCUCAGUGAGCGGUGACGAUUAACACAUAAAAGCGACACGGGGAAUCUCGCUGCUCGAUACGAGCGCGCAUGAGAGGGCGAAGCAUUCAUGGCCUGCCAACCCGUUCAGCGGGAGCCGCUUCUAUCUGAUUGGUGAUCUUUUGUUUUGGCGCUGCCCUCCAUUUCCAAGGGAACGCACCCAAUCAGAUUAGACGGAGCGGAGGCACUUUUCUAUUUAAAAGACUUAAAGACACAAACUUUAGCUCCGCCCCCCUGCGGGGUCCCGACGUGACACCGGGAUUAAAAUCUGAGCGCGAUCUGAUCUCCGCCGCUUCAUCUGAGCCCUCGGCCGCUGAGAAAGUGACAGAAGAAGAAGAAGAGCGUGUGUGGACGCCUUUAAACUGCAGAGAGCAGCAGUCGUCUUCCAAACGGAGAGCUGUAGUUGUGUGUGUGUGUGGUGUGUGUGUGUGGUUUGUGUGUGUGUGGUGUGUGUGUGUGUGUGGGGGGGGGGGGGUAAAUUACAGGCUACAUUCAGACGCCACGUCGUCAUUUACAUGAACUGUCACGCAAGAAAAAGAUGAAAUGAGGAUUGUUUUCAUCUGCGCGCGCUCCAACAGACCACUUGACCACUGAAGUCACGGCUAUUAUGUCAUUAUGCCUUCAGCCAAUCACAGCGCGGCACCCUCACUUUCACCGUCCAGGGGGGGCUCGGGGGCGACACCUGUGUAUAAUGAAUGCCCCGCCCACUUUAACUCCACCUGGGGUCACGUGAGCGCGUUCAAGUCAUCAAUGGGCUGUUUCCACGGGAGGCGACGUCAACAUUAAUAAUAAUCAGGAAGUUGAUGCGACAUUGACGCAGAUGCAGCGCGGCAGCUCGUAAGGAAGCACGGAAGUGACAUAAAAUGGAAUAAAUUCCUUUAAAAAUGCGGAAUGGAUGAAAAAAGUAUCGCUCAUCUUCGUGUGUUAUCAAAGAUAAAUAAAGAUUUUU
rnacentral:lncRNA from 1 species